rnacentral:rRNA from 1 species
CAGGGAAUCUUGCACAAUGGGCGAAAGCCUGAUGCAGCGACGCCGCGUGGGGGAUGAAGGCCUUAGGGUCGUAAACCCCUUUCAGCAGGGACGAAAAUGACGGUACCUGCAGAAGAAGCCCCGGCCAACUACGUGCCAGCAGCCGCGGUAAUACGUAGGGACCAAGCGUUGUUCGGAUUUACUGGGCGUAAAGGGCGCGUAGGCGGCAUGACAAGUCACUUGUGAAAUCUCUGGGCUUAACCCAGAACGGCCAAGUGAUACUGUCGCGCUAGAGUGCAGAAGGGGCAAUCGGAAUUCUUGGUGUAGCGGUGAAAUGCGUAGAUAUCAAGAGGAACACCUGAGGUGAAGACGGGUUGCUGGGCUGACACUGACGCUGAGGCACGAAAGCCAGGGGAGCAAACGGGAUUAGAUACCCCCGUAGUCCCUGAGCGGGCUGGCAAGGCGCAU